rnacentral:rRNA from 1 species
GAUGAACGCUGACAGAAUGCUUAACACAUGCAAGUCCACUUGAACUUCGGUUUGGGUGGCGGACGGGUGAGUAACGCGUAAAGAACUUGCCUCACAGCUAGGGACAACAUUUGGAAACGAAUGCUAAUACCUGAAAUUAUGAUUAUAUGGCAUCGUAUAAUUAUGAAAGCUAUAUGCGCUGUGAGAGAGCUUUGCGUCCCAUUAGCUAGUUGGAGAGGUAACAGCUCACCAAGGCGAUGAUGGGUAGCCGGCCUGAGAGGGUGAUCGGCCACAAGGGGACUGAGACACGGCCCUUACUCCUACGGGAGGCAGCAGUGGGGAAUAUUGGACAAUGGACCGAGAGUCUGAUCCAGCAAUUCUGUGUGCACGAUGAAGUUUUUCGGAAUGUAAAGUGCUUUCAGUUGGGAAGAAAAAAAUGACGGUACCAACAGAAGAAGUGACGGCUAAAUACGUG